UUCUCCUUCUAGUACUAGCUUUACCAGUAUAAUUCUAUUUUCUACUCUUUUAACAGCUAUUACGGCAUCUUUCAAUGUUUUAUCUAUGAUUAUGCCCACUCUGUUCUUGUUUAUAGAAAUAGAUUAGAUUAGAUUAUCUCCUUUUCCUUAUAUCUAACAUUCCAUCAUAUUAGAUUAGUUUUUGUUUUGCCACCAAAUAUAGAAAUAGAUUAGUUUCUAAGUUCUAGUAAUCAUAGUUGUGUUGCUCUUUCCCAUGAAAAGAGAAAAAAAGGAGGAGAGAGAAGGGGGGGGGGGGGGG
rnacentral:misc_RNA from 1 species